AUACGUAGGGAGCGAGCGUUGUCCGGAAUUACUGGGUGUAAAGGGAGCGUAGACGGGAGUGCAAGUCAGAUGUGAAAUACAUGGGCUCAACCCAUGGGCUGCAUUUGAAACUGCAUUUCUUGAGUGAAGUAGAGGUAAGCGGAAUUCCUGGUGUAGCGGUGAAAUGCGUAGAUAUCAGGAGGAACACCGGUGGCGAAGGCGGCUUACUGGGCUUUUACUGACGCUGAGGCUCGAAAGCGUGGGGAGCAAACAGGAUUAGAUACCCUGGUAGUCCACGCUGUAAACGAUGAUUACUAGGUGUGGGGGGACUGACCCCUUCCGUGCCGCAGUUAACACAAUAAGUAAUCCACCUGGGGAGUACGGCCGCAAGGUUGAAACUCAAAUGAAUUGGCGGGG
rnacentral:rRNA from 1 species